UACGUAGGGUGCGAGCGUUUGUCCGGAAUUAUUGGGCGUAAAGAGCUUGUAGGCGGUUUGUCGCGUCUGCCGUGAAAAUUCGAGGCUCAACCUCGAACUUGCGGUGGGUACGGGCAGACUAGAGUGUGGUAGGGGAGACUGGAAUUCCUGGUGUAGCGGUGAAAUGCGCAGAUAUCAGGAGGAACACCGAUGGCGAAGGCAGGUCUCUGGGCCACUACUGACGCUGAGGAGCGAAAGCGUGGGGAGCGAACAGG
rnacentral:rRNA from 1 species